rnacentral:lncRNA from 1 species
GUACAGGAAGGAGAGUGGUAUCUGCUUCUGGGGAGGCCUCAGGAAGUUUCCAGUCAUGGUGGAAGGUGAAGGGGGAGCAGGUGCCUCACAUGGCAAAAAAGGAACAAGAAAGAGGGGGAGACACCACACUCAAUGACCAAAUCUCAGGAGGGAGAUGCCACACUCAACUGAACACAUCUCAGGACGGAGACGCCACACUCAACAACUUACAUCCCAGGAGGGAGACGCCACACUUUCCACUGACUAGAUCUCAGGAGGGAGACACCAUACUCAACGACCAGAUCUCAGGAGGGAGACGCCACACUCAACGACCAGAUCUCAGGAGGGAGACGCCACACUCAACGACCAGAUCUCAGGAGGGAGACACCACACUCAAUGACCAGAUCUCAGGAGGGAGACGCCACACUCAACAACUUACAUCCCAGGAGGGAGACGCCACACUCAAGUGACCAGAUCUCAGGAGGGAGACGCCACACUUUCCACUGACCAGAUCUCAGGAGGGAGACGCCACACUCAACGACCAGAUCUCAGGAGGGAGACACCACACUCAACGACCAGAUCUCAGGAGGGAGACGCCACACUUUCAACUGACCAGAUCUCAGGAGGGAGAUGCCACACUCAACGACCAGAUCUCAGGAGGGAGACACCACACUCAACGACCAGAUCUCAGGAGGGAGACGCCACACUCAACGACCAGAUCUCAGGAGGGAGACGCCACAUUCAAGUGACCAGAUCUCAGGAGGGAGACGCCACACUUUCCACUGACCAUAUCUCAGGAGGGAGACGCCACACUUUCAACUGACCAGAUCUCAGGAGGGAGACGCCACACUCAACGACCAGAUCUCAGGAGGGAGACGCCACACUCAACGACCAGAUCUCAGGAGGGAGAUGCCACACUCAACUGACCAGAUCUCAGGAGGGAGAUGCCACACUCAACUGACCAGAUCUCAGGAGGGAGAUGCCACACUUUCCACUGACCAGAUCUCAGGAGGGAGACGCCACACUUUCAACUGACCAGAUCUCAGGAGGGAGAUGCCACAUUCAUCGCCAUCUAAUAAUUUU